rnacentral:rRNA from 1 species
UGGGGAAUAUUGCACAAUGGAGGGAACUCUGAUGCAGCGACGCCGCGUGAACGAAGAAGGCUUUCGAGUCGUAAAGUUCUUUUAUAUGGGAAGAUAAUGACGGUACCAUAAGAAAAAGCCCCGGCUAACUACGUGCCAGCAGCCGCGGUAAUACGUAGGGGGCUAGCGUUGUCCGGAAUCACUGGGCGUAAAGGGUUCGCAGGCGGAAAUGCAAGUCAGGUGUAAAAGGCAGUAGCUUAACUACUGUAAGCAUUUGAAACUGCAUAUCUUGAGAAGAGUAGAGGUAAGUGGAAUUUUUAGUGUAGCGGUGAAAUGCGUAGAUAUUAAAAAGAAUACCGGUGGCGAAGGCGGCUUACUGGGCUCAUUCUGACGCUGAGGAACGAAAGCGUGGGUAGCAAAUAGG